GACGAACGCUGGCGGCGUGCUUAACACAUGCGAGUCGAACGGAAAGGCCCUGCUUUUGUGGGGUGCUCGAGUGGCGAACGGGUGAGUAACACGUGAGUAACCUGCCCUUGACUUUGGGAUAACUUCAGGAAACUGGGGCUAAUACCGGAUAGGAGCUCCUGCUGCAUGGUGGGGGUUGGAAAGUUUCGGCGGUUGGGGAUGGACUCGCGGCUUAUCAGCUUGUUGGUGGGGUAGGGGCUUACCAAGGCUUUGACGGGUAGCCGGCCUGAGAGGGUGACCGGCCACAUUGGGACUGAGAUACGGCCCAGACUCCUACGGGAGGCAGCAGUGGGGAAUAUUGCACAAUGGGCGGAAGCCUGAUGCAGCAACGCCGCGUGCGGGAUGACGGCCUUCGGGUUGUAAACCGCUUUCGCCUGUGACGAAGCGUGAGUGACGGUAAUGGGUAAAGAAGCACCGGCUAACUACGUG
rnacentral:rRNA from 1 species